ACACUCACCACACAUACACACACACGCCGCACACACACACACACACAUACCCUCUCGGUCCUCUCUCUCCCUCUUCGAUUCCGGCUAAAGUCCGGCGAGACCACGACGGCCGGCCACCACCUACGGUGGUCCGGCGACGACGACUCACGGCGGCGGAAGGGUUUCCGGCGAGUUUUCACGGCGGACUUGGGGUGUACCCCCCUUAAAUCGACCCUUCUGAGUACGUUUCCGGUGACGGUUUUCUCAUCGGAACAACGGAAGUGUUGUUUUCAUCUUUGGCAGCCACGUUGUUCGAGCCUCCUUCUCCGGUAAGCUCCUAACCUGGUCCUUCUCUUUCUUUUAGACCCCAUUCUUCUCCGAUUCGUGCUUUUGCAGGUACGACAGUGGAGAUGGUCGGGUCUGGUUUAAUCUUCGCUGGGAAUCGGGGUGGUCGGCUCUGCCGACGGCACGGGGUACGGCCGACAACAGCAACCACACCAGCGACGACGGCGGUGAAGGUGGUGGUUAGUUCCGAUGUUUGGUUCUCGGGUCCGUUCGAGUCUCGGUUCAGUUUCUGACAAGCGAUUCUGGUGCAGGCUCGUUACAAUGGUGGUGACUCCGACUCGAGUGGUGGUUUGGUUCAGUUUAGGUCUUGGUGUAACUCGGUUCGGUUCCGACUCGAGUUGACCGGUCGAAGCUGGCCAACAGUUGUGUCGAGUCAUGUUCCGGUCCAGUUUUGAUGUUCGGUUCAGUGUUAUGGUUCAGUUUUGGUGUCUCGGGUCAAACUCGGUCGAUUCUGGUCAACUAUCGAGACGACACAAGCUUUGGGUGACCUCGGUGUUCCAUCCUCCUAAACUCGUCAACUCGUCGUACUUGGAUAAUCGGAAGACUUAGCAAUAUUGUUGAUGAGGAUGAUGC